rnacentral:snRNA from 1 species
ACAAUUUUCUCGGCCUUUUGGCUAAGGUAAAAUAUAAUAUUUGUUUUUAUCAAUUGAAUAUUUGGUAUGUGAACCAUAUGUUCAAUUUAAUAUUAAAUUUAUUUUUUAUGAGUAUCUUUUGUGGGAAUGAUCUACCACGCUGGUCUAUUGAGUCCGUUGCAUCGCACGGUCAAUUAUAC